UUAAGAUUCUGAGAAAAGGAGGAAAAAAAGAAUGCUGUCAAGCAUUUCCAAAUAGCAGAGCCUUGCAAUUUCUGUAAGGCUACCAGAGAAAUCAGUUUUUGCAAUUGCUGUUGUUGGUAAUUUCUAAUCCUGAUUUGUUAAAAUUGCAUCAUCUUAUGAUUCAUUGUCAUUAGAAAUGGGUAUAUUAGAUGCUGUUGAUGCUGAAAUGGUUAGCAAUUUCAGAUGCUUAGAUUGUGAUGUCGAAUUGUUUGGUCACUGUAAUAGUGUGAUUUACUUAUGGAUUUAUGAUAAUUUUGAUUUUGGGGGUUCUAUGUUUUUUUAACCCUUCCACUGAAGAAUACAAAAAUACCUUAAUCACCUAAGUAUGAUUUCUAUGGGAAUGAUAUACUACCUGAGGAUGGUUAGAUUAAGGGACUGAUGAUUACAAGUUGGUGAACAUCUAUACAGUAAGAUCAAAUCCAUUUGCAAACCAGAUUCAGUCCUAAUUUCCUAGAAACCCAGGGAUGCAGUAAACCGGAUAGAAAUGGGGUUGGUCAGAAGAAGAAAUUCAAGUGGUCUUCUCCUGGCUUCUGAGAAGAAGAUAAUGGCGAUGAUUAUAACCAUUCUCCUGGCUUCUGAGAAGAAGAUAAUGGCGAUGAUUAUAACCAUUGUGAAUCAAAUGGGUUAUAGUACGUCAUAAAAUUCACAUGCGGCUGCUUAACUGGAUUGGAAUCUCCAAAGGUCUGAUUAAGGAAAACUCCACAUUGCUACCAUGGCAUCUGUGCAAGAUUGAUUCAGAUUGUUAUAGUGGUGGUUGUCAAUGUGGAGUUAAUCGAACAAGUUUUUCACCUGCUCUUUAUGAUGCUGAGAGAAUGCAAGUGGAGAACAAGGUGGUGAAUACAUGUAAUUGAGCAUUUGAAGACGUCGCUUAUGAUGCCGAAGAUAUGCCGGGACGAGAAUUGAAAUGAAAUGCAAAAGAAGAUUUCAAGACGUUGCUUAUGACGCAGAUAUCUCAAAACCAAUUUGUCUUGGUCUCAAGAUGGCUCAAGAGAUCAAUGAUCUCAACCAGAUUUGGGGUUUAAAAAGCAAGGACAGUUUCAAGAUGGCUCAAGAAAUCAAUGAUCUCAACCAGAUUAGUUUUUACAAGCUAUGGAAGAUCAAUGAUCUCAACCAGAUUAGUUUUUAAAAGCUUUGGAAAAUCAAUGAUCUCAACCAGGUUUAAAAAGCGAGGAAAGGCUAAUAUACAUUCACUAAAGAAGCCGAUCAAAAAAAAAAAAAAUACAUUCACUAAAGAAUACAAAAAGGAGGAUGCAUGUAUUGUUGAAGAUGGCAUCCCUUUUACUUUUGAUGUUUUAAUUUAUAGUUGUAAAAAUGUACCUUGGAAUAAUGAAAUGAAUGUUGUUUUUUUU